rnacentral:antisense_RNA from 1 species
GGCUGAGGAGACCCUCGAGAGCAGCAACACUGGAGGAGGACAGGGAGGGGGUGCAGGGGACAUGAGGAAAGCCACAAGGAUUGGGAAAAGAGCACCCAACUCCUCUGAGAGAUGGUGAGGUUGAGGACACUCAGCACACCCAGGAUGAGGAUACGCGGUCACGAGCUAGGCGGAGGCCUGGGUCUCCCUCCUGUAAAUCUGGACGGGUGAAGACUGAGGUCCCUGGCAUCCCAUGGGCUGCCUGUUUCUGGUUCCCUUCUCCACACGUGCCGACCUCAGAGACGUGACAGCACCUUCGCCCUGGAGAAUCUGUUGUGUCUGUCGCUCUCCCUGGCUCAGCCCUGACAGUCCCUGCAGUACGCGUGCACCCCACCCUGCCUUCACCCACUGCCCAGCCCACGCCUGGGCAAGGCCCACUCCUUCCCUGUGACCUCUCCCAGCCAGAGGGAGUGCCAUGGGAGCGGCCAUUGCCCCCCUACGUAAGGUGGUGGAGCCUGGACUGGCAGAUGCACUCAGGAACUGCUCAGGAUAAGCACGCUCGUGCAGG